rnacentral:rRNA from 1 species
UACGGAGGGUGCAAGCGUUGUCCGGAAUCACUGGGCGUAAAGGGCGCGUAGGCGGCCCGGUAAGUAGGGGUGAAAUCCUGCGGCUUAACCGCAGGGCUGCCUUCUAAACUGUCGGGCUCGAGCACGGUAGAGGCAGAUGGAAUUCCCGGUGUAGCGGUGGAAUGCGUAGAGAUCGGGAAGAACAUCAGUGGCGAAGGCGGUCUGCUGGGCCGUUGCUGACGCUGAGGCGCGACAGCGGUGG